GACGAACGCUGGCGGCGUGCUUAACACAUGCAAGUCGUACGGUAAGGCCCUUUAGGGGGUACACGAGUGGCGAACGGGUGAGUAACACGUGAGUAACCUGCCCACAACUUUGGGAUAACGCUAGGAAACUGGUGCUAAUACUGGAUAUGUGCUCCUGCUGCAUGGUGGGGGUUGGAAAGCUCCGGCGGUUGUGGAUGGACUCGCGGCCUAUCAGCUUGUUGGUGGGGUAGUGGCCUACCAAGGCGGCGACGGGUAGCCGGCCUGAGAGGGUGACCGGCCACAUUGGGACUGAGAUACGGCCCAGACUCCUACGGGAGGCAGCAGUGGGGAAUAUUGCACAAUGGGCGCAAGCCUGAUGCAGCAACGCCGCGUGCGGGAUGACGGCCUUCGGGUUGUAAACCGCUUUCAGCAGGGACGAAGCUUUUUGUGACGGUACCUGCAGAAGAAGCACCGGCUAACUACGUG
rnacentral:rRNA from 1 species